AUUGAACGCUGGCGGCAGGCCUAACACAUGCAAGUCGAACGAGUGGCGGACGGGUGAGUAAUGUCUGGGAAACUGCCUGAUGGAGGGGGAUAACUACUGGAAACGGUAGCUAAUACCGCAUACCAUCAGAUGUGCCCAGAUGGGAUUGGCUUGUUGGUGGGGUAACGGCUCACCAAGGCGACGAUCCCUAGCUGGUCUGAGGGGAUGACCGGCAACACGGGAACUGAGACACGGUCCGAAUUCCACGGGGGGGCGGCAGUGGGGAAUAUUGCACAAUGGGCGCAAGCCUGAUGAGGCAAUGCCGCGUGUAUGAAGAAGGCCUUCGGGUUGUAAGGUACUUUCAGCGGGGAGGCGUUACCCGCAGAAGAAGCACCGGCUAACUCCGUGCCAGCAGCCGCGGUAAUUC
rnacentral:rRNA from 1 species